GAACGCACAUUGCGCCCUUUGGUAUUCCUUAGGGCAUGCCUGUUCGAGCGUCAUUUAAACCUUCAAGCUCUGCUUGGUGUUGGGUGUCUGUCCCGCCUCGGCGCGGACUCGCCUUAAAUUCAUUGGCGGCCGGUACAUUGGCUUCGAGCGCAGCAGAAACGCGAACUCGGAGACUUUGGAUCAGCUCCCAGAAGCUAUUUUCUAUUUUUGACCUCGGAUCAGGUAGGGAUACCCGCUGAACUUAAG
rnacentral:misc_RNA from 1 species